rnacentral:lncRNA from 1 species
CUUAUCUGCAGUUUGGCUUACCCACCAUCCAAAAAAAUUAAAUGGAAAAUUCUAGAAAUAAACAAUUCAUAAGUUUUUAGUCAUGCACCGUUCUGAGUGGCCUGGGGAAAUCUCCUGCGCUCCUGCUCCACCUCGCCUUGGAUACAAAUCCUUCUUUUGUCCAGCAUAUCCACACUUUCUACCCACCCAUCUGUUAGUAACUUCAUAGCCGGCUCAAUUACCAGGUGGACUGCUGUGGUAUUGCAGUGCUUAUGUUCAAGUAACCCUUCUUUUACUUCAUCAUGGCCUCAAAGCACGAGAGUAGUGAUGCUGACAAUUUGGAUAUACCAAAGAGAAGCUGUAAAAUGCUUCCUUUCAGUGAAAAAGUGAAAGUUCUACAUUUAAUAAGAUGUCUUCUACGAACAUUUGUUUCCCAAACCAGAGAAACCCUUAUUCACUCAUUAACCAUUGGGAUUUUUGUUCAAAGGCCCAUGAAUUAUUGCUACUUUAAAUUUGCAAGCAAAUUUAUAAUUGGAUCCUGAUGUCCCAGCACCCAUAAAUAUUUUAUAAUAAUUGUACAAACAACACUUACAUUAAGGACAUGAACGAUUAAAAUAGGGAGACCCCCAUCUCUACCAAAAAAUAGGAAGAAGAAGAAGAAGAAGAAGAAGAAGAAGAAGAAGAAGAAGAAGAAGAAGAAGAGGAAGAACAAGGAAGAGGAGGAGGAGGAAGGGAGGAAGAAAAGAAAAAAUAUUAGCCCGUGGUGGUGGCACACACCUAUAGUCCCAGCUAUUUGGGACGCUGAGGCCAGAAGACCCCUUGAGGCCAGGAGUUUGAGGCUGCAGUGAGCCAUGAUUAUGCUACUGUGCUCCAGCCUGUGAGACAGAGUGAUAUCUUAUGUCAAAAUAAAUAAAUAAGUAUUGGUGAAAAUAUAAUAGGAUAAAAUUGCAAGCCAUAGGAAAUGGAAGUCUAGCACUUACAGAGAGAUGGUAAUAUUGUGAAGCAACAGUGUAUUGAAAUUAUGAAAUAAGAGUUUUUCAUGCAAAUGUGAGGAAUUUGCUGAGGACAAGUAAGAAGAAGGCCAAUUCCUAUUGUGCAAAUCCUCUGGUCACUGGCUUCAACUAAUAAGGACAAGCAAAAGCAUAGGAAGUCAUUUCCCUCCUACAAAGAUCAUUGCAAUGAAUGGGAACUGGUGCUUUCUGUGGCUCACGCCCAGUGGGUCUGAGGGGAAAUAGAAUCAAUAAAACUUUAAACAUAGUAAGUGCUAAAUGAACACUUCAUGAAUUGAAAGCUGACUAGAAAGCCAGCUAUGAAGACAUAUUCUAGAACCACUGGCUGGGGAGGAAAAAAAGCACACCGAAUAAAGCACAAGCUGCAAUAAUCUCUUUAGUUAAUAUCCGACUUAUUUUUUUUUAAGUAUAAUGCAGUACAUUU